rnacentral:rRNA from 1 species
GACGAAGGGGGCAAGCGUUGUUCGGAAUUACUGGGCGUAAAGCGCGUGUAGGUGGUUGCACGAGUCAGGCGUGAAAGCCUCGAGCUCAACUCGAGAACUGCGCUUGAUACUGUGUGGCUAGAGGACCGGAGAGGAUAGUGGAAUUCCCAGUGUAGUGGUGAAAUACGUAGAGAUUGGGAAGAACACCAGUGGCGAAGGCGGCUAUCUGGACGGUUUCUGACACUAAGACGCGAAAGCGUGGGGAGCAAACAGG